AACGAACGCUGGCGGCAGGCCUAACACAUGCAAGUCGAGCGGACAUCUUCGGAUGUUAGCGGAGGACGGGUGAGUAACGCGUGGGAACGUGCCCUUUGCUUCGGAAUAGCCUCGGGAAACUGGGAGUAAUACCGGAUGUACCCUUUGGGGGAAAGAUUUAUCGGCAAAGGAUCGGCCCGCGUUGGAUUAGGUAGUUGGUGGGGUAAUGGCAUACCAAGCCGACGAUCCAUAGCUGGUUUGAGAGGAUGAUCAGCCACACUGGGACUGAGACACGGCCCAGAAUCCUACGGGAAGCAGCAGUGGGGAAUCUUAGACAAUGGGGGAAACUCUGAGCUAGCCAUGCCGCGUGAGCGAUGAAGGCCUUAGGGUUGUAAAGCUCUUUCAACGGGGAAGAUAAUGACGGUACCCGGAGAAGAAGCCCCGGCUAACUCCGUG
rnacentral:rRNA from 1 species